GGGCAUCACGAAACCGGCUAUCCGUC
rnacentral:sRNA from 1 species